GAGUUUUAUAUUUAAUUUUAUUUUAUAUUAUUAUAAAAAUUUAUAUUAAAAUGAAAUGAAGUAUUAUAUUGGGGUGAUAGAAAAAUAAAAUAAACUUUUUUUAAAAAUUUAACAUAAAUAAAUGAUUUUUUGAUCCAUUAUUAAUGAUUAUAAGAAAAAAUUACCUUAGGGAUAACAGCGUAAUUUUUUUUUUUAGAACAAAUAAAAAAAAGAGAUUGC
rnacentral:rRNA from 3 species